rnacentral:rRNA from 1 species
AGCGUAGGUGGCCUAACAUGUCAACUGUGAAAACCCGGAGCUCAACUCCGGACUUGCAGUUGAAACUGGUAGGCUUGAGGACGGUAGAGGAAGACGGAACUGCCAGUGUAGGGGUAAAAUCCUUAGAUAUUGGCAGGAACGCCGGUGACGAAGGUGGUUUUCUGGGCCGGUUCUGACACUGAUGCUUGAAAGCCAGGGGAGCGAACG